GGGAGCUUUCCCCGGGCG
rnacentral:snRNA from 1 species